UCUUUAGCUUCAGCAUUUUUCCCCCCUGCUGUGUAGGCUCUUCAUUUCGGAGCACAGGCUUCUCCUGUUGCAGAGCAUGGGCUCUAGAGGGUUCAGUCGUUGCGGCACAUGGCUCUCUUUAGUUGUGGCACAUGGGCGUAGUUGUCCAUGGCACGUAGGAUCUUAGUUCACUGACCAGGGCUCAAACUCUGGUCCCCUGCUUUGGGAGCACAGAGUCUUAGCCACAGGGAAGUCCCAUCACUGUUAUUUACUGAGUGUCUACUAUAGUCUGACAUCAGUGAACGCAUUUAAUCUUUCCAAUCACCUCACAAGGUUAUUGAGCUCUUAUGUGCCAAGACUGUAUAAAAGUAUUUUAUAUUUAUUACAUGUGUAUGUAUGUUUAUGUAUAUUAACUCAUUUUACCUUCAUGAACCACCUUAUUUCAUAGAUGAGGAAACUGAGGCAGAGACACUAAAUUACAUGCACAAGGCUUGCCUAGUUAAUAAAGAUUGGGGUCAGGAUUUGAACUCUGGCAGUCUAAUUCCAGAACCUAUAUCAUUCUUGACACCCUCCCUUCCUAAGUGCAGUUUUGUAGAUGGCAAACUGAGUCAGAGAGGCCAGGUCACAUGACUAGCACUUCACAGAGCUGAAUCCAGAAACCUGGCUCCUGUUCCAGCCACUGUGCCUAUUACCCGGUAAACUGCCUGUGAUGUAAAUCACAAAGACUUCAAAGCUAAAAGUCUCCAGGCCCUGAAACUAUGAUGUAGCAAGCUCCACCACACCCGGGUUCCUAUCUCAGGCAAAGAGGGACUUGGUCAUUGACGGUUUUGGGAUCUUCUGCCUGGCCGCCCCAGCUCCAAUGCUCUUCUGAAAAUUGUUUCAGGUAGACAGCAAAGGGACUCAGCCAUACAUCUUUUUUUUUUUUUUUUUGCUGCACUGGGUCUUCGUUGCUGUGAGCAGCCUUUCUCUAGUAGCGGAACAGUUGUCAGUUGAAGACACUCAUCAUCAAUUACAGGAAGAACUGUCAGUUAAAGACCCUAAUGGAAGAACCAUGGACUGGAAAGAAUCAUCAGUUAUAGGUCCCAAGAGGAAAAGAAGUACAUUUCAUCUCCUAGAAGAAAUCCAUUACCCCAGCAACUCGGACAGUGAGAAGCCAUCAUUACCCUGAACUCUCACUUUUCUCCAGUGGACAUUCCUUCAGAACAACCCCUCCCAAUGUCUUCCCUUUUUUCCCUAUACAAUAACCUUCUCUGUUUGUUGGCCUUGCCUAUGGCUUUUGCUAUAACUUCCUUGUUCUCUGCUCUUCCUGAAUAAAUCUAUUCUUGCUGGUAAAAAUAA
ensembl:lncRNA